rnacentral:rRNA from 1 species
GAUGAACGCUGGCGGUAUGCUUAACACAUGCAAGUCGAACGGACUCUUCGUAGUUAUUGGCGGACGGGUGAGUAACGCGUGAGAAUCUGGCUUUGGGUUCGGGACAACCACUGGAAACGGUGGCUAAUACCGGAUGUGCCUAAUAGGAAAAGAGAAAUUGCCUGAAGAUGAGCUCGCGUCUGAUUAGCUAGUUGGUGAGGUAAAGGCUCACCAAGGCAGCGAUCAGUAGCUGGUCUGCGAGGAUGACGAGACACACUGGGACUGAGAGACGGCCCAGACUGCUACGGGAGGCAGAAGUGGGGAAUUCUCCGCAAUGCGAGGAAGCGUGACGGAGCAAUACCGCGUGAGGGAAGAAGGCUCUUGGCUUGUAAGAAUCUUCUCUUAGGGAAGAACAGAAUGACGGUACCUAAGGAAUAAGCGUCGGCUAACUACGUG